rnacentral:lncRNA from 1 species
AGGGUCCAGAGAGGGCAAAUAGGGAAUCAUCUCAAAGGAAGGCUUGAAGAUUCAGGAAUAUUGGGAGAGAUUUCUUGCAGAAGGUGGGACUUGGUAGCUGAGACUUGAAGGAAGCCAGGGAUGCUAGGAGGUGGAGUUGUGGAAAGAGAGAGUUUCAGGCAGGGGGACAGUCAGGGAAAAUAGAGUUAGGGGCAGCUGGGUGGCUAAGUGGAUAGAGAGCCAGGCCUAGAGAUGGGAGGUCCUGGGUUCAAAUCUGGCCUCAGACACUUCCCAGCUGUGUAACCCUGGGCAAGUCACUUGACCCCCAUUGCCUAGCCCUUCCAGAUCCUCUGCCUUGGAAUCAAUAUAUGUAUUGAUUCUAAGACAGAAGGUAAAGGUUUUUAAAAUAAUUUAAUACCCAAAUGGAUUUACAAAAAGUUGGACAUGACGGAAAUGACUCAACAAUGGUGUCCAGGAUUGGGGAGGGAAUGGACUGGAUGUAUUUUAUUCUGAUGUGUGUUCAGUCUGGGAAGCCACAUUUUAGGACGGAGAAAGAUAAGCUGGAGGGGGUUUAGAGAAGGUCAUCUAAGUUAAGCAAGGGUCUUGAGAUGAUGCCAACUGGGAAGUAACUGGGGCGUUCAGCCUGGAGAGGGAGAAACCCUGGAUGGGUGGUUGUAGUGGAGGUAGGGGAUAGUCAGCAUCAUAGUUCUUUCAAAUAUCUCAUGAGUUGUCAGAGGGAAGAGGGAUCAGGCUUGUUUUGUUUGGCAUGGGGGGCAGAAAUGGGAACAAUGAGUGGAAGUUGCUUAGAGGCAGAUAAAGGUUUGAUAUCAUGAAAAAAUUUCUUUGAAAUAAGAGUCAUUUCAGAGUAGAAUUGGUGGCCCUGGAAAGUAGUUCGCUGGGAAGUAAUGAGUUCCCAGUUACUGGAGGUUUUUAAGGAAUCAGUGGCCACUUGUUAGGCAAGCAUGUUAUACAGGUGAUUCUUUCUUUCUUUCUUUCUUUCUUUCUUUCUUUCUUUCUUUCUUUCUUUCUUUCUUUCUUUCUUUCUUUCUUUCUUUCUUUCUUUCUUUCUUUCUUUCUUUCUUUCUUUCUUUCUUUCUUUCUUUCUUUCUUUCUUUCUUUCUUUCUUUCUUUCUUUCUUUCUUUCUUUCUUUCUUUCUUUCUUUCUUUCUUUCUUUCUUUCUUUCUUUCUUUCUUUCUCUCUCUCUCUCUCUUUUUCUUUGCUGUUUGUUUCUCUCUCUCUUUCUUUCCUUCUCUCUCUCUUUCUCUCUCUUUCUCUCUUUCUCUUUCUUUCUUUCUUUCUUUCUUUCUUUCUUUCUUUCUUUCUUUCUUUCUUUCUUUCUUUCUUUCUUUCUUUCUUUCUUUCUUUCUUUCUUUCUUUCUUUCUUUCUUUCUUUCUUUCUUUCUUUCUCCCCCCCCCCACUUUAUUUCUUUCCUCACCAUGAGGCAAGAGACUACUCAUAGAAGUUAAAGGGGGAAAAGCAGGGGCUUUCUAGCUGACAAAUAAUUUUAUAAAAGUCAGCUGAGGCUUAACUCAACCAGCCUGAAACAGAAUUAAUAGACUAAAUAUGGUCAUAAUAGAGAAGAGAUUCUAGUUUCACAAGGUGAGAUAUUCAUACUCUGAGAGACAUGUGGAGAUUGAGAUUGGCUGAGAAAGAAGCAGAUUCAUAUCUCUUAUCUUAUUCUGGGGCAGAUGUUCAUUAUGCAGAAUCACUGAAUUACUAAAAUUGUGGGUUUUGGGGGGGGUCUCUCUCUCUCUUUCUCUGUCUCUUUCUGUGUCUAUCACUGCUUCUUUCAAGUAUAUUUGAAUCUAUGUGAAUUCCACAUGGGGAAACUAGAUGGAUAGAGAGUGACUGGAGUUAGGAUGAUCUGAAUUCAAAUUCAGCCACUUAACCUCUAUUUGCCUCAGUUCCUCAUCUAUAAAAUGGAGACACAUUGAAGAAGGAAAUAGCAAGCCACUUUAGCAUCUGUGCCAAGAAAACCCUAUGGAUUAGUCCACAGAGUCAUGAAGAGUUGGGCACAACUGAGCAACCAAACAACACAACAAAUUAUAUGUACAAACUAUAUGAAUAUUGGGAAUGACGUGUUAGUGUCCCAAUGUCAUAGUUUCAUGAUCAUCAAUGCAAAGAGCAAAGAGCCACAGAUAUUUUGGCUCAUCUGUUCAGUUUCAUAGUUUCCUUCCAUUUUCUUUUAUAAAUGCUUUUGGUAUGACCUGGCUUAGUCAGGUCACAUGCCAAGCUUUUUUGCAGGCUAUUGUGUAAAGUGACACUAAUUUUAAUUUUCCAUUAUCCUUCUUCACAAUGUUUGGUCUUUUUAUUUUUAAACCCUUGCCUUCUGUCCUAGAAUCAAUACGGUGCAUUUGGUACCAAGGCAAAAGAGCAGCAAGAGCUAGGCAAUGGGGGUUAACUGACUUGCCUAGGGUCACACAACUAGGAAGUGUCUGAGGCCAGAUUUGAAGCCAGGACCUCCUGUCUCUGGGUCUGGCUCUCAAUCCACUGAGCUAUCCAGCUGCCCCCUGAAAUAGUCUUUAUUAUAAUCUGAAAUUGUCCUUGGUGGUCAGGUUUCUUAGAUAUUGGAUGUUUUUUAACUAGAGAAGUCUCUAGUUUCAUUUGAGCUCUUCAUUGUGGUAAUUGUUUUGCAUCCAUUACACUUAAAUGAAUAAUGAUAUUUAAAAUGUUUUUACCCUUAUACAUUUCCUUUUUAAAGUCUGUUUAAAUAUAGUGGGCUUGAACUGUUAAAAUUUCAUGCAACAUUUUCUUCUCAGCUUUGUUUCUCUAAUCUGCAGGGAAUUUUGGCUUUUGCUUUAAUCAGUGAUCUGACUGGAAACAGACAAUUUGAUCGGAAAUUACUCUGAUGUCAAUAAACAGAGAUUUCCUGUCUCGUAAGAUAAAAUU